rnacentral:rRNA from 1 species
CAGAGGGUGCAAGCGUUGUUCGGAAUUAUUGGGCGUAAAGCGCGUGUAGGCGGCUUUGCAAGUCGGGUGUGAAAGCCCUCAGCUUAACUGAGGAAGUGCGCCCGAAACUGCUUGGCUUGAGUACCGGAGAGGAUGGCGGAAUUCCCCAAGUAGAGGUGAAAUUCGUAGAUAUGGGGAGGAACACCGGUGGCGAAGGCGGCCAUCUGGACGGAUACUGACGCUGAGACGCGAAAGCGUGGGUAGCAAACAGGAUUAGAUACCCUGGUAGUCCACGCCGUAAACGAUGAGAACUAGGUGUCGUGGGUGUUGACCCCCGCGGUGCCGUAGCUAACGCAUUAAGUUCUCCGCCUGGGAAGUACGGCCGCAAGGCUA